UACGGGGGGGGCAAGCGUUGUUCGGAAUUACUGGGCGUAAAGGGCUCGUAGGUGGCCAACUAAGUCAGACGUGAAAUCCCUCGGCUUAACCGGGGAACUGCGUCUGAUACUGGAUGGCUAGAGAUUGGGAGAGGGAUGCGGAAUUCCAGGUGUAGCGGUGAAAUGCGUAGAUAUCUGGAGGAACACCGGUGGCGAAGGCGGCGUUCUGGACUGCAACUGACACUGAAAAACGAAAGCCAGGGGAGCAAACGGG
rnacentral:rRNA from 1 species